AAGGCUUUAAGUUAAUCAAACUAAUAGCCUUCAAAGCUGUAAAUAAAGAUAAAAUUUCUUUAAGCCUUA
rnacentral:tRNA from 1 species